GUCCCAUCGAACCGGCCCAGCGCCACCAUGCGGGGCAGGAUCUUGUGGUUGAGCUUCAGCGUGAACACGGGCACCAGCAUCACGGCGGAGAGGCCGGGCCGGGCCGCGGGGCCCGCCGCUACACGGGGCCUCCACCGGCACCGGGAGUGCUGUAAAUAUGCCACCCUCUCUGACCAGCACCUGAAUCAGCACCUGCGAUCCACUGGCAUCAUCCAUCACCCCCAUCCCAGCAAGAGGCAGGUUUGGAAAAGGAGGCGCUGGGACAACAGCCUUUCCCUGCAGAGGCCACCAGAUUGAGGCAAAGCUUCAUUUAUUUCUAGGAAAGCUGGCAGACGCAUUCGGGUUGGCAUUCACUUGUGCAUCAGCCAAGCCCCGGCCGGCAGCGGUGUCCCUGCCCUGCAUACGAAGGAGAGCUCUCAAAGGCAGCGCUUGAGGAGAGAUCAUGCGACUCAACGUGACAACCACCUUUUAAUCUUUUUUUACAAUUGUUUUUACCAAUUUUUUCUGGAAGCUCUAUCAAUGUACCAUUAUACUUGUGCAUAACAAGGCAGCAGUCACAUGCGGCAUAUGAAAGAGGGUUUUUUUUUUCCUUUGUGGAUCUACUUUUGGGCGAGCGCAGGUCUCAGUGCCAGCCUUGCAGUGAGUCUCCUCUCCUGGGUUCUGUUUUGGAUAUUGGAACACAAAGGCAAAGCACCAGCGUGAACUCAGGCAACAGGGUGUUUGCUCGAACCCAGCAAAUCCUGCUGCACUCCCGGCAAAAAUCCCCAGUUCCCUUCCCAGCAGCACCAAGCGUUGAUCUGCCAGGCUCUGCAAACCUGACUGAGCAAAACAGGGAAAAAACUACACUCAGAGCUUUUUAUAGUAAAUUUGCAGCCAGAUGAAAAUACCAGCUUCUUGCUAAAUAUGCAUGAUCUGGAUUGUAAAUAUUGUUUUGCAUCUGUAAUUAUGGUAUUGGGUUUAGUGUGUCUGCAAGAUGGUUAAAUUACACUGCCUGUUACAGCU